rnacentral:rRNA from 1 species
UACGAAGGGGGCUAGCGUUGCUCGGAAUCACUGGGCGUAAAGCGCACGUAGGCGGCUUUUUAAGUCAGAGGUGAAAUCCUGGAGCUCAACUCCAGAACUGCCUUUGAUACUGAGAUCUUGAGUUCGGGAGAGGUGAGUGGAACUGCGAGUGUAGAGGUGAAAUUCGUAGAUAUUCGCAAGAACACCAGUGGCGAAGGCGGCUCACUGGCC